UCGAACGGGCCGGGGGCAACUCCGGUCAGUGGCGAACGGGUGAGUAAUGCAUCGGAACGUAUCCCGUAGUGGGGGAUAACGCCGGGAAACCGGCGCUAAUACCGCAUAUGCUCUACGGAGGAAAGUGGGGGACCGCAAGGCCUCACGCUAUGGGAGCGGCCGAUGUCCGAUUAGCUUGUUGGUGGGGUAAUGGCCUACCAAGGCGACGAUCGGUAGCUGGUCUGAGAGGAUGAUCAGCCACACUGGGACUGAGACACGGCCCAGACUCCUACGGGAGGCAGCAGUGGRGAAUUUUGGACAAUGGGGGCAACCCUGAUCCAGCCAUGCCGCGUGCGGGAAGAAGGCCUUCGGGUUGUAAACCGCUUUUAGCCGGAAAGAAAAGGCGUCAGCUAAUACCUGGCGUUCUUGACGGUACCGGCGGAAUAAGCACCGGCUAACUACGUGCCAGCAGCCGCGGUAAUACGUAGGGUGCGAGCGUUAAUCGGAAUUACUGGGCGUAAAGCGUGCGCAGGCGGUCCGUUGUGUCCGA
rnacentral:rRNA from 1 species